rnacentral:rRNA from 1 species
UACGAAGGGGGCUAGCGUUGCUCGGAAUCACUGGGCGUAAAGCGCACGUAGGCGGACUCUUAAGUCGGUGGUGAAAUCCUGGAGCUCAACUCCAGAACUGCCUUCGAUACUGGGAGUCUCGAGUCCGGGAGAGGUGAGUGGAACUGCGAGUGUAGAGGUGAAAUUCGUAGAUAUUCGCAAGAACACCAGUGGCGAAGGCGGCUCACUGGACCACAACUGACGCUGAGGCGCGAAAGCUAGGGGAGCAAACAGG